UACGGAGGGUGCAAGCGUUGUUCGGAAUUACUGGGCGUAAAGCGCGUGUAGGCGGACUCGGAAGUCGGGUGUGAAAGCCCUGGGCUUAACCCAGGAAGUGCGCCCGAAACCACGAGUCUUGAGUUCCGGAGGGGAUCGGGGAAUUCCUGGUGUAGAGGUGAAAUUCGUAGAUAUCAGGAAGAACACCGGUGGCGAAGGCGCCGAUCUGGACGGACACUGACGCUAAGACGCGAAAGCGUGGGUAGCAAACAGG
rnacentral:rRNA from 1 species